rnacentral:lncRNA from 1 species
CUCCGGGUUAGCUUCUAUAGUUAAUAUCACGUCAUCUGCAUAAAGAUCCCCCUGUGAUCUCAAUAUCACAAUUGAAUAAUCAAAUUUACAAAUACUAUAAUAAUAACAACAAAUAACCAAACUAAUAAUACACAAACAAACAGAAAAUAUUAAACACCGAAAAUAACAUGUCAUGGUACAAAAUCCUUGAAAUGACUAGGCAAUCUUCUCGAUUGCGGCUGGGCCUACUUUCAAAGGCGUUAUUUGGUCCCCUCUGCCCGAUCUUGUCCACUUGUUUGGCUCCUUGGGAUUGAGGUGAUGACUGAACUACCUUUCGCACGUCGUAAAUGUGCCUUGGUACGCCAUUCACGUCUACACUGAAUUUAGAUUUUUGUUAUUACCCCUCUAUUCCAUCUAGUCGAACAUCGAGCUCUAGUAGGUUUAACCCAUACCUCAUCCCCUUUCGAAUAGAUGUUAUAGGGUGCUCUUUCACCGGUUCUGUGACUACUUUCCUCCAAGUAUGGGUUCCGCCAUGUCAUCUUAAAUAGGCGUUCCGCUGGCGUGUCUCCGUUCCCACUCACUGGUAUCAUAUUGUACCAAAACAGACACUCCCUUGUCCUCGCCGCCAUUGUUUUCACUGAUCGAUGGUGCCUCUAAAUAAUUCCAUUACCGGACGGGCGAUAAGUGCAGCAGAAGAUAACUUUCACAGACCAUUUUGAACAUAAGUUUCUAAGCAUUACCGAUCUGAAACUGCGGCGGUUAGGAGAAUCUCGUUAGGUGGGCUUAAUUCACUGAAUAUCUGGUUUAUCAUCCUCGUUAUCUCCUCCUCACUUUCUCUCACUACCCCCCUUCAAACGGCAAAAACCUCCCACACAUUGCAACAAGUUCGCGUUUCGUUAGCCCGUUGGAUCUAAUGGCGAACUCAUCUUCUUCAGAUCUUCUCCAGUAAAGUCAUUUUCUUCCCUUAUCGAUUUUAAGUCCGAGAACCGUAGCAUUCUCCAACUCUACUGGAUCUUUACACUCGAGGCCGUAACUUGAGAGUAGACGCCUUACGUUACCCACAUCCACUUUUCCUGUAUCGACAAUAAUGUCGUCAUAGUAACUGUCUGUUGCACUGUUUACAACUCUGUUGCUCUGUAGCACCUCACGAACCACAGCCAUCAUAAUUUCUGGAGCACAAUUUAAUCUGAACCCAAGCCUAGUAAGUUCAUACUGCUUGUCCUUUAUCCGAACUACAAGAUAUUUUCCACACGAAGGGUUAACUCUUAUCUGCAUUUAGGUGUCCUUUAGGUCUAACAAUGCGCACGAUGGGGACCACCUUCUCCACGAUUUUAAUUUUUCAUUGCACACAUCAGCGUUGGUUCCACUACAUUCUAUAUAAUCAUUCAAUUCUCGAAAAUCAAGGACGGGUCUAAGGUUGUUUUUCUUCUUUUGUGAAACGGCUAACAGCGGUAUCACGCCUUUAUUGCCUUGAAUGCAGGGUUUCAGCCAUCCGUUUGAUAUCCACCGAGUAAUUUCAUAAUCAAAACGCUCCUUAAUUCCCUCCUUCAUCUUGUAUUCUGCGAUUGUGUUGUGAAGGUUGGGUUCUUCUUUCCAAUCCCACUGGACCACCCAUUCAAAUAGAUUGCACUGCCUAGAGUUUCCCGUUCCUCUCAUAUUCUUUAAAAUAAAGUAGAGCGGUCGUGUUAUCAAUAAAGGAAAAGAACAUAAAUAUCUUAAUCAAUAUAUUCAAUGCUUAUCAAAACUACUUGAAGUUCCACCUCAUUUAUGUGAACUUUGUGCUUUUCAUUCCAAAUACCCUGGAAUGCGCGUCCAUCAGACAAAGAUAUACCAUAUCCUCUUAGGGAAGCAUCUGUUCGAACAUCUAACACCGUAUCGACCGGCCUUGAUAAUGUACUGCUGACAUUUCUCGUAAUAAAGGUUGACCACCACAUUCGAAGAAAUAAACAUUGAAUCCCUUCUCGGAAAAUUUCGAUCUCCCACUUUAAUAAACUGUAUAUCUCUAUAAUAUACACGCACCAGUGCAAACAUCGGUUUAAUACUCUCCAGUAAACCUAAACACUUUUGAGCGUCCUUCAGAGAGAUCUUAUCCUUUUCCGGAAGGAAGAUGGGAAGCUUGCUUAGCUUCUCCUGGUUAUCACGUCGGUGAGACACCAGAAAUAGGUUUGUAUUACAAAAUAGACCCAAAUACCCGAUAGUUAAAACUGCUGCAAUGAGUUCUUUUUAAAAUUAAUAGAGAAUACAAGAAGACUAAUAAUACACGCACAUAGACAGGCAUCUCUACGAGUUAAACUGUAUGAAGCCCCUUGUAAUAUGAUAUCAUCAAAAUAAAUGUUACACGAUAUGUUUAGCUUACCUCUUAAAAAGGUGAUAACGGUUCUUAGUAACUUAUUGAAUACCCGUGGGCAGAUGAGAGGCCAAAGCAUAACACUCUGCCCCUCCAACAGAAAUUGAGAUAACGUCUAUCUUUUUCAUUAAUAUGAAAAGAAGGAUAUGCGUUCGAAAGAUCCAUCGAAAAUAGAUAAAAAAUUCUUUUGAACGAAGGUUUCAAAGAAUGGACAGAUUCCAAUUUAAACUUGGAUUUAACAAACACACCAGACACUACAUGUAUCUGCUCUAAGUUUAGGUUUACU